rnacentral:rRNA from 1 species
UUAAAUUGAAGAGUUUGAUCAUGGCUCAGAUUGAACGCUGGCGGCAGGCCUAACACAUGCAAGUCGAGCGGUAGCACAGAGAGCUUGCUCUCGGGUGACGAGCGGCGGACGGGUGAGUAAUGUCUGGGAAACUGCCUGAUGGAGGGGGAUAACUACUGGAAACGGUAGCUAAUACCGCAUAACGUCGCAAGACCAAAGUGGGGGACC